rnacentral:misc_RNA from 1 species
UUAAGUUCAGCGGGUAGUCCUACCUGAUUCGAGGUCAACGUUCAGAAGUUGGGUGUUUUACGGCGUGGCCGCGUCGGGGUUCCGGUGCGAGCUGUAUUACUACGCAGAGGUCGCCGCGGACGGGCCGCCACUCCAUUCAGGGCCGGCGGUGUGCUGCCGGUCCCCAACGCCACCUCCCCAAGGGGGAGGUCGAGGGUUGA